UUUCUUGUUUUUGUAGAAAAAGGCUGUGACAAAUACGGAAAAUCGUAAAUGCUAUACGGACACACACACUGCUGGUCCCGUAUCGUUUGCCCAAAUUCGGAAGAAACUGCCCGAAGCAUCAGAUGCAGAAGUUUUUUUAAAAACUCGCAAGAGAAAUUCCAAAAACGAGUACAAGUCCAAUACUGCUGUGAUGAACUACAGACUUGAGAAAAUUGAAAAAGCGGUGAAUACAGGGGAAGGUAGUUCUAACAUUGAUGAUCUUGUCACUAAUGGUAAAACACAUGGCCCGUCUUGGCUUAUUGGACGAACAAUCAAGUCUGCCGAGGUUCCAACCCCUCCUGCCACGAACACUUACAUCCAGGAGUUGACAUCUCAGAUCAGGCAAAAUCUCGAAGUGGAAAUUGAAGCCAAGGUAAAAAAAGAUGUCCAGGAAGAAGUAGAUUCAAAGCUCGCUAUGGUUCUGAAAAAGUUAAGCGAGGCAAAUCCAAAUUUACAAAUUAAUUUAGGAGAUCUUUGUGCCACCAUUUCUAGUGACAAUGACAAUGGUACUCCGUUGACCAGGGAUGCAAGCUCUUAGGUUAUAACGAAGUUAUCAUAGUACACUAAGUGAUCUUUUGGUACUAAUUAUA